AAUCUGAACCAGAAGCAACAACCAGAACAUAGCUGGGCGAGAAGAAACGAAUCCAAUUUAUUCGGCACCUCGUGUGGUUGUGUGUGUGUCAUAAAAUCGGGGGGUGGGGGUGCUGAAUGAGAUAUGUGGUGGGUGCGAGAAACAGG
ensembl:ncRNA F35D2.12 ncRNA